AGAGUUUGAUCAUGGCUCAGAACGAACGCUGGCGGCGUGCCUAACACAUGCAAGUCGGGGGAGAAAAGGGGCUUCGGCUCCUGAGUAAACCGGCGCACGGGUGAGUAACACGUAGGUAACGUACCCUUGAGUCUGGGAUAACCAGUCGAAAGAUUGGCUAAUACCAGAUACGACCCUUGGGACCUUGGUCUCGAAGGUGAAAGAUGGCCUCUGUUUACAAGCUAUCACUCAUGGAUCGGCCUGCGCACCAUUAGCUAGUUGGUGAGGUAACGGCUCACCAAGGCUGAGAUGGUUAGCUGGUCUGAGAGGAUGGCCAGCCACACUGGGACUGAGACACGGCCCAGACUCCUACGGGAGGCAGCAGUGGGGAAUAUUGCGCAAUGGGCGAAAGCCUGACGCAGCGACGCCGCGUGGGUGAUGAAGGCCUUCGGGUCGUAAAGCCCUGUCGGGAGGGAAGAAACAGCCUGGACCUAAUAUGUCCGGGCCUUGACGGUACCUCCUAAGGAAGCACCGGCUAACUCCGUGCCAGCAGCCGCGGUA
rnacentral:rRNA from 1 species